rnacentral:rRNA from 1 species
AACGGAGCAGACUACAGGAUUCCCUAGUAACUGCGAGUGAAGCGGGAAAAGCUCAAAUUUAAAAUCUGGCGGUCCUUGUGGCUGUCCGAGUUGUAAUCUAGAGAAGUGCUAUCCGCGCUGGACCGUGUACAAGUCUCCUGGAAUGGAGCGUCAUAGAGGGUGAGAAUCCCGUCUUUGACACGGACUGCCAGGGCUUUUGUGAUGCGCUCUCAAAGAGUCGAGUUGUUUGGGAAUGCAGCUCUAAAUGGGUGGUAAAUUCCAUCUAAAGCUAAAUAUAGGCGAGAGACCGAUAGCGAACAAGUACCGUGAGGGAAAGAUGAAAAGAACUUUGGAAAGAGAGUUAAACAGUACGUGAAAUUGCUGAAAGGGAAACGUUUGAAGUCAGUCGCGUCGGCUGGAGAUCAACCUUGCUCUUGCAGGGCGCACUCUCUGGUUGAUGGGUCAGCAUCAGUUUUGAUCCGUUGGAUAAAGGUCAGGGGAAUGUGGCAUCGAUUCGUUGAUGUGUUAUAGCCCUCGGUCGUAUACAGCGGUUGGGACUGAGGAACUCAGCGCGCCGCAAGGCCGGGUCUUCGGACCACGUUCGCGCUUAGGAUGCUGGCAUAAUGGCUUUAAGCGACCCGUCUUGAAACACGGACCAAGGAGUCUAACAUGCCUGCGAGUGUUUGGGUGGAAAACCCGAGCGCGCAAUGAAAGUGAAAGUUGGGAUCCCUGUCGUGGGGAGCACCGACGCCCCGGACCAGACCUUCUGUGACGGCUCCGCGGUAGAGCAUGUAUGUUGGGACCCGAAAGAUGGUGAACUAUGCCUGAAUAGGGUGAAGCCAGAGGAAACUCUGGUGGAGGCUCGUAGCGAUUCUGACGUGCAAAUCGAUCGUCAAAUUUGGGUAUAGGGGCGAAAGACUAAUCGAACCAUCUAGUAGCUGGUUCCUGCGAAGUAC